UACGGAGGGAGCUAGCGUUGUUCGGAAUUACUGGGCGUAAAGCGCACGUAGGCGGCUUUGUAAGUUAGAGGUGAAAGCCCGGGGCUCAACUCCGGAACUGCCUUUAAGACUGCAUCGCUUGAAUCCAGGAGAGGUGAGUGGAAUUCCGAGUGUAGAGGUGAAAUUCGUAGGUAUUCGGAAGAACACGAGUGGCGAGGGCGGCUCACUGGACUGGUAUUGACGCUGAGGUGCGAAAGCGUGGGGAGCAAACAGG
rnacentral:rRNA from 1 species